CACACACGGCACUGUGCAGACUACUAAACAUCAUUUACAGCUGCAACGGGACAGAACAUUUCAUGUCGUAUUUUCCUCCUCAUGUCACUUCAUCGCCGACAAACAGCAUAACCCCGUUCAAAAGAGACAUUUUGGGGCAACGAGUGUUGUGUCACACACACACUCCGUGCUGCCCUCUGCUGUUGGAGCACGCAGAAGUUCCUCUGGAGACACCAGACGCGCCCCGGCGCUCAUUAGGCAGACUGCGCCCACUCUCCGCCGCAGCCUGCAGCAAUCAAUGACUGACGCACCUGGCUAGGAUGAAGACGGCAGUAUAAGAACGGUCGACGUUGACUCUUUGACGUGGGAACGUAAUCUACUACCCCGCUCGUGUCACCACUGCUGUUUCCCUCCUAUACCUGUUUGCCUUCCUGGAUCCUCGACCUAACUUUGGACUUUCGGACCCCCUCUCCUGCCUUUGACCCCCACUUGGACCUUGGACUUCCCCUGGCUUCUUCCCCACUCUGAUUUGGACGCUGAACAUCCAACACACACCUCAACAAACCUUACGGUAUUUACAUAUGGUAAUUCCACACACAGUCAUUCAUGCAGACACAUAGUUGCAUACACACUCCACGUAUUCAUCAAGUAUUCAAUAAACAUAUUGAACUUGACAUCCCGUUGCUGUGCCGUCUCCUUCCCCAGUAGCAACAUAACAACGAGGGUGCCAAAUGACGAUGUGUUCGAAGCAGAAGACAUAAAACGGCAGGUUUUAGGUUUCAUGUGGGUCGAGGAGGAGGAGCCACAGUCACGCUUUAUUGUAUACCUCUUACUUGGCCUCGGUAUUAACCAUGCUUGCCUAGCAGAAUUGCUAUUGUGACAUCCAGUGGACACAUUUAGAACAGCAGUUUAUUUCGUAAAAAAAAAAAAAAAAAAAAGCAGCUCAUUUUAAUAUUUGCCAAACUCAUCACGCGGCCCGGAUAAAACCUGUUCACGGGCCUGAUCCGGCCAGCGGGCCGUACGUUUGACACCCCUGGUAUAAUACAUGUGUUCCGUCUUGACUGGACUUAAAUGUAGAAUAUAUGUAUAAUAUAUUUAUAUCAUUCACAUGUGAAUAAUGCUGUAUAGUAUUUAUUGUCUAUUGUGAGCGAC